UACGUAGGGUGCGAGCGUUGUCCGGAAUUACUGGGCGUAAAGAGCUCGUAGGUGGUUUGUCGCGUUGUCCGUGAAAACUCACAACUCAAUUGUGGGCGUGCGGGCGAUACGGGCAGACUGGAGUACUGCAGGGGAGACUGGAAUUCCUGGUGUAGCGGUGGAAUGCGCAGAUAUCAGGAGGAACCCCGGUGGCGAAGGCGGGUCUCUGGGCAGUAACUGACGCUGAGGAGCGAAAGCGUGGGGAGCGAACAGG
rnacentral:rRNA from 1 species